rnacentral:tRNA from 1 species
GCAAUAAAAGCAGAAAAUAAAAUGCGUCGGCCUUGUAAGUCGAAAGGUAGAGGACGAUGCCCUCUUUAUUGUU